AUACUUACCUGGAUGGGGUCAAUGGGUGAUCAUGAAGGCCCAUGGCCUAGAAAGGUGGCCUCCAUUGCACUUGGGAGGGGUGCUUUUCUAAGGUCUACUCAAGUGGUGGAGCCUACAUCAUAAUAAAGUUUAAAAUUAAUCUUUUUUUUUUUUUUGAG
rnacentral:snRNA from 1 species